rnacentral:rRNA from 1 species
UAAUACGUAGGUGGCAAGCGUUGUCCGGAAUUAUUGGGCGUAAAGCGCGCGCAGGCGGCUUCUUAAGUCUGAUGUGAAAUCUUGCGGCUCAACCGCAAGCGGUCAUUGGAAACUGGGAGGCUUGAGUGCAGAAGAGGAGAGUGGAAUUCCACGUGUAGCGGUGAAAUGCGUAGAGAUGUGGAGGAACACCAGUGGAGAAGGCGGCUCUCUGGUCUGUAACUGACGCUGAGGCGCGAAAGCGUGGGGAGCAAACAGGAUUAGAUACCCUGGUAGUCCACGCCGUAAACGAUGAGUGCUAAGUGUUAGAGGGUUUCCGCCCUUUAGUGCUGCAGCUAACGCAUUAAGCACUCCGCCUGGGGAGUACGGCCGCAAGGCUGAA